GACGAACUCUGGCGGCGUGCUUAACACAUGCAAGUCGAACAGAAAGGCCCUGCUUUUGUGGGGUGCUCGAGUGGCGAACGGGUGAGUAACACGUGAGUAACCUGCCCUUGACUUUGGGAUAACUUCAGGAAACUGGGGCUAAUACCGGAUAGGAGCUCCUGCUGCAUGGUGGGGGUUGGAGAGUUUCGGCGGUUGGGGAUGGACUCGCGGCUUAUCAGCUUGUUGGUGGGGUAGUGGCUUACCAAGGCUUUGACGGGUAGCCGGCCUGAGAGGGUGACCGGCCACAUUGGGACUGAGAUACGGCCCAGACUCCUACGGGAGGCAGCAGUGGGGAAUAUUGCACAAUGGGCGGAAGCCUGAUGCAGCAACGCCGCGUGCGGGAUGACGGCCUUCGGGUUGUAAACCGCUUUCGCCUGUGACGAAGCGUGAGUGACGGUAAUGGGUAAAGAAGCACCGGCUAACUACGUGCCAGCAGCCGCGGUGAUACGUAGGGUGCGAGCGUUGUCCGGAUUUAUUGGGCGUAAAGGGCUCGUAGGUGGUUGAUCGCGUCGGAAGUGUAAUCUUGGGGCUUAACCCUGAGCGUGCUUUCGAUACGGGUUGACUUGAGGAAGGUAGGGGAGAAUGGAAUUCCUGGUGGAGCGGUGGAAUGCGCAGAUAUCAGGAGGAACACCAGUGGCGAAGGCGGUUCUCUGGGCCUUUCCUGACGCUGAGGAGCGAAAGCGUGGGGAGCGAACAGGCUUAGAUACCCUGGUAGUCCACGCUGUAAACGGUGGGUACUAGGUGUGGGGUCCAUUCCACGGGUUCCGUGCCGUAGCUAACGCUUUAAGUACCCCGCCUGGGGAGUACGGCCGCAAGGCUAAAACUCAAAGGAAUUGACGGGGCCCCGCACAAGCGGCGGAGCAUGCGGAUUAAUUCGAUGCAACGCGUAGAACCUUACCUGGGUUUGACAUGGAUCGGGAGUGCUCAGAGAUGGGUGUGCCUCUUUUGGGGUCGGUUCACAGGUGGUGCAUGGCUGUCGUCAGCUCGUGUCGUGAGAUGUUGGGUUAAGUCCCGCAACGAGCGCAACCCUUGUUCACUGUUGCCAGCACGUUAUGGUGGGGACUCAGUGGAGACCGCCGGGGUCAACUCGGAGGAAGGUGGGGAUGACGUCAAGUCAUCAUGCCCCUUAUGUCCAGGGCUUCACGCAUGCUACAAUGGCUGGUACAGAGAGUGGCGAGCCUGUGAGGGUGAGCGAAUCUCGGAAAGUCGGUCUCAGUUCGGAUUGGGGUCUGCAACUCGACCUCAUGAAGUCGGAGUCGCUAGUAAUCGCAGAUCAGCAACGCUGCGGUGAAUACGUUCCCGGG
rnacentral:rRNA from 1 species